AUCCAGCUGACAAGUCCUACGUAGGACAAAACGCGCGUCCUGGAU
rnacentral:hammerhead_ribozyme from 1 species